GCGGGCGUAGCUCAGUUGGUAGAGCAUCUCGUUGCCAACGAGAAUGUCGAGAGUUCGAAUCUCUUCGCCCGCUC
rnacentral:tRNA from 1 species